ensembl:lncRNA
CUAGGAGAGACAGAGAGCAGAACAGAGGCUAGGAGAGACAGAGCGCAGAACAGAGGCUAGGAGAGACAGAGAGCAGAACAGAGGCUAGGAGAGACAGAGAGCAGAACAGAGGCUAGGAGAGACAGAGCGCAGAACAGAGGCUAGGAGAGACAGAGCGCAGAACAGAGGCUAGGAGAGACAGAGAGCAGAACAGAGGCUAGGAGAGACAGAGAGCAGAACAGAGGCUAGGAGAGACAGAGAGCAGAACAGAGGCUAGGAGAGACAGAGAGCAGAACAGAGGCUAGGAGAGACAGAGAGCAGAACAGAGGCUAGGAGAGACAGAGCGCAGAACAGAGGCUAGGAGAAACAGAGCGCAGAACAGAGGCUAGGAGAGACAGAGAGCAGAACAGAGGCUAGGAGAGACAGAGCGCAGAACAGAGGAGAGACAGAGAGCAGAACAGAGGCUAGGAGAGACAGAGAACAGAACAGAGGCUAGGAGAGACAGAGAGCAGAACAGAGAGACAGACAGAGAGCAGAACAGAGGCUAGGAGAGACAGAGAACCGAACAGAGGCUAGGAGAGACAGAGAGCAGAACAGAG